rnacentral:rRNA from 2 species
UCUGGUAAUGAUGGCAGAGAGGCCACACCCGUUCCCAUACCGAACACGGAAGUUAAGCUCUCUAGCGCCGAUGGUAGUUGGGACCUUGUCCCUGUGAGAGUAGGACGUUGCCAGGCAAA